rnacentral:lncRNA from 1 species
UGCUGCUUCUCCAUUUGGGGGAGGGCGGGGGUAAAAGCUAGACUUAGAGGUCCAGCGUGAGCAGAGCAGGAUGAUUAUAUCUUCGAAUAGAUUUUUGCCUUGUGAGUUUGCGACUUAUCUAUCAACCAAAUAACAUUGAUGGCCUAUAGCACAGCAGAAUACUUCAAUCUCGCAUUUCAAUACUUACUGCUACACGUUAAGCAUCUACUCCUUAAUCAUCAUAAUAAAACAAAUGUUUUAUGGAGCGUACAUGAUUAAACUUCAUUACGAAAUAUAUUUCGAGCCCGUUGAAAAUAUUCAAAGAUUCUUUCAUUUUAAAGGAAUAUUCCUGUUUUCAGUUCUAACACAAAGGUUUCUGGUUCGAUUCCCGUUCCGGGAUGAAAAUUUCAUGAACUGAAUUUUCGACUCUCCCUUGACACCAUUUGCGAGUACGAUGAUAGUCCGUUGGAAGGGGACGAUAAAUGUCUGACCCGUGUUAAGAGAGGGCCAUAGCUCUUGCACAUUAAAGAAACCCUUGUAGAUUUUCGAAAAAGAGCAGGCUAAUGCCGCUACAAGGCAGCACUCGCACCC